AGGCUUUCGGCAUCUUGAAUGGAGUGAGCACGUUGGCCCUUCUGUGAGACAGUGCACCCUGGUCGUUCCCAGGGCCCGGGCGGAAAGGCGGAGCGGACAGUGUCGAUGGCACCUCCCUCACCAGACCUGCCAGAAGACAACUGUUUCUAACGGAGGAUGGACCUAUACCUUGCCCUGAAUUUCUCUCUCUCGAUGUAAGCUGGAGCCAAUACUGACUGCUGGGAGGGGAUCAGUGGCAGAAGGAAUAAGAGAGCUAUGAAGAUCAAAGGUACCAUCUCUACUCUUACUUUGAGGUGGAAAUCAUAAACCCUGAUGAUAGCGAGCCUCA